UCGUAGCUCAAUUGGAUAGAGCACUAGACUUCGAAUCUAGGGGUUGCAGGUUCGAGUCCUGCCG
rnacentral:tRNA from 1 species